UACAGAGGUCUCAAGCGUUGUUCGGAUUCACUGGGCGUAAAGGGUGCGUAGGUGGCCAGGUAAGUUUGGUGUGAAAGCUCGGAGCUUAACUCCGAAAAGUCAUUGAAUACUAUCUGGCUGGAGGGUCGGAGGGGAGACUGGAAUUCUCGGUGUAGCAGUGAAAUGCGUAGAUAUCGAGAGGAACACCAGUGGCGAAGGCGAGUCUCUGGACGACUCCUGACACUGAGGCACGAAAGCUAGGGGAGCAAACAGG
rnacentral:rRNA from 1 species